rnacentral:rRNA from 1 species
AGUGAACGCUGGCGGUAGGCCUAACACAUGCAAGUCGAACGGCAGCACAGUAAGAGCUUGCUCUUACGGGUGGCGAGUGGCGGACGGGUGAGGAAUACAUCGGACUCUACUUUUUCGGGGGGGAUAACGUAGGGAAACUUACGCUAAUACCGCAUACGACCUACGGGUGAAAGCAGGGGAGCAUCGGACCUCGCGCGAAUGAAUGAGCCGAUGUCGGAUUAGCUAGUUGGCGGGGUAAAGGCCCACCAAGGCGACGAUCCGUAGCUGGUCUGAGAGGAUGAUCAGCCACACUGGAACUGAGACACGGUCCAGACUCCUACGGGAGGCAGCAGUGGGGAAUAUUGGACAAUGGGCGCAAGCCUGAUCCAGCCAUACCGCGUGGGUGAAGAAGGCCUUCGGGUUGUAAAGCCCUUUUGUUGGGAAAGAAAAGCAGCAGGUUAAUACCCCGCUGUUCUGACGGUACCCAAAGAAUAAGCACCGGCUAACUUCGUG